GAACUUAAGCAUAUCAAUAAGCGGAGGAAAAGAAAAUAACAAUGAUUUCCCUAGUAACGGCGAGUGAACAGGAAAGAGCUCAAAGUUGGAACCUGUUUGGUUUAGCCAAACCGGAUUGUAAACUGUAGAAGUGUUUUCCUGGCACGCCUGACGAAAAAGUCCAUUGGAACAUGGUGACAUAGAGGGUGAGAGCCCCGUAUUUUGUCAGAGCUGUUGUCUCUUGUGAUACACUUUCAAAGAGUCAGGUUGUUUGGGAAUGCAGCCUAAAUUGGGUGGUAAAUCUCACCUAAAGCUAAAUAUUGGCAAAAGACCGAUAGCGAACAAGUACCGUGAGGGAAAGAUGAAAAGAACUUUGAAAAGAGAGUUAAACAGUAUGUGAAAUUGUUAAAAGGGAACCGUUUGGAGCCAGACUGGCUUGAUUGUAAUCAAUCUAGAUUUCGAUCUGGAUGCACUUGCAGUCUAUGCCUGCCAACGACAAUUCAUUCUGGAGGAAAAAACUAAGUGGAAUGUGGCCCCUCGGGGUGUUAUAGACUCUUAGAAAAUACUCUGGUUUGGAUUGAGGAACGCAGUGAAUGCUAUUUGGCGAAGAUGCUGGGUGCUUUUAUUUUUGUUGUCUAGAAUUUCUGCUUCGGGUGGUGCUAGAUACCACGAGUAAAACUCGCCUAGUAUACUUUUUAUUCACUUAGGUUGUUGGCUUAAUGACUCUAAAUGACCCGUCU
rnacentral:rRNA from 1 species